GAUACUCAGUGGUAGAGAAUCUGUUUGGCAAGCACAAGGUCCCAGGUUCAAUCCUUCGGAUCUCCA
rnacentral:tRNA from 1 species